AGUAGUAUCAAAGCUGGAGUGUGAACCUACUCCAAUUUGUUUUGCAACUACUGCCUUUUAAAAAUGCAUUUAUUUAUUUGGUCAUAUAAAGAGAACAGAUUUCAUGUAUUUCAUAUAUACAAUUUUAAGAACAUAAUACUUCCCCUUUGCCCUGCCCUUUUUCCUCUUUCCUUUCUUAUUUUUCUUUUAAUUUUUGAGAGAGCAUAAGUUCCACUUACUUUAUAAUUACAAGUUUAAUGUUCUGCUAAAUACAGAAUUCAACAGUAUAAGGUAGAAAGACCACAUCUGAUAUUGUCUCCUCAUCCUAUAUAGUGACCCUGAAUCUACGUCACAGGCGGAGCCAGCCUCAGUGUUAAUAGUGUUAAUGCAACUUAAAUCAGGCUAAUUCUUCCAAACUGUGGUAAACUGGAAAAGCACGCUUUUCAAGAUGAGAAGUCAGCCAUUAUUACUGAACUUGUCAUCAGUAAUUAUUUCUUAACAAUGCGCUGAAAAGAACUUUUCAGCUGUUUUAAACCUACAAGGCUUAUAGCAGUUUAGAAAGAAAAUAAAGGAAAUAUUUUACAUUCCAAAUGCCCAUAUAUGUGUGUAUACACACACAAACAUACAAGGUGGGAGUAGUUUCAGGGCACUAUUGAAUUAUAAAUGUUCAUCAACUUUAGCCUGUAGUGUUUAGUUAGCUUCCUCUCGCUCCCUCUCCCCUCUCUUUCUCAGCAGCUCCAAUUUUUGACCCUUUAGCACAUGCACCAAAGAAAUACAUGCUAUUUUGAAAGAUAUAUUAAUUUUGCAAAUAAGUCCUGCAAAUUUUAUCAUGAUUUCAAAACCCUUUGAACUCCAGAAGAAAAUGAUCAUUAACAAAGGCCUGAAUACCCAAAGUAUAGAAAACAUGUUUCCAAAUACAAGAAAUCAGUAGUGAGUGAGUUUCCACAAUGAAGCAAACACUUGCCUGACUAGAAGACAAAUAGUCCAUCUAGUUGACCUAUCAGUUCCUCAUUCUGAAUUCAAAAAAGAGAAGUUAAAUAGAAGAGCAACUUUUCAACCAUGCAAUGAUCACCAUGAGAACUAACCACAGCAUUAUAUGGAAAGAACAGCACAAGAAAUGAAUCAUGAGGGCACAUAUUGGGUACAUGUGAGGCAAUGUUAUGAGAAAAUAAAGGUAAUUAUUUUCAUUUUAGAAAUCUACAACAUGUAAAGAAUUGUGUGAAGGCACAAGGAAGGAAAAGACAUGGUGUUUCUCAUAUUCGUAAUCAUAGCCUAACACAGAAUUGCAACAAAUGCAAUGAUAGGUACAUUGUGGCAUGAGACUGUGGGAAGAAGAUCAAAGAGUAAGCACUUAAAAAUUUAAGAAGGUAGAUUUGGGCUGAAUCUAAAGUAUAAGUGGAAUAUUAAUAGCAAUUAGGGAAGAGUGGAGACCUGGGAGAUAAACACAGGAACAAGUAAGAAUUCACCUGCCUGUCAUAAUAUUUCCCCCUCAUUCUUAUGGCUUAAAUUACGUUACACUAACGUUCUGUUUUCAUGUAGAGCUGCUCUUCUGGAAAUUCACUCCAUAAAGGAGAAGUGGGGAGUAGAUGAGUUCUGUAUCUGUAUGACUGACAACUUGCCCAAUACUUGGCCACAUGGCACCCUGAGUCUCUAUUGUGCCAUUUACUUCGAAAAAUGCCAAGAAUAACAUAUGAAUGGACUCUACUCCCUGCACUGUUCUUGUCUAGGAAAAUGUAUGCUUCUAAGUGCAGCAGCUUCCAAUGCCAUGUAGGCAAGUUCCAAUGACAUGGGAAGAGAGUAAACAAGGCUUUACCUUUGGACAAUGUUGACAUGUGUCAGCUUCAGAAAAGAAACCACCCACGGAGAAUAUUCUCAGAGAGCACAACAUCAACUGGAUCAAAGUCCAGGACUAAAGGGGAAAUAGAGAGUCACCGCUGAGAGGUAGGCUACCUUAACAUGCAGGUAUAGUUGCCUGUGUCAUUGAGGAGGGUGGGCCGGAAC